CUGCCGCCGCCGGCGCGUCUGUCCCACGCGCCGGCGCGUGAGCACUGUUUCGGUGAGUUUCUUACGAAAGUCCUUCAGGGCAGUUAGAUCGCCCUCAAAUUCCGAGCCUACCCAUAUUGUUACUUUUCAAUUCCGACCACUUUGAAGUUUUUCCGGCAUCUACAGUGAUUUUCCGGCAUCUGCAGUAAUUUUCCGGCAAAAAUAGUAUUUCCUUCAUCUGUUUCAGCAAGUUUUCAACAAUGUCUUUGGGACUCGAUGCUUUCG
rnacentral:lncRNA from 1 species